UACGAAGGGGGCUAGCGUUGUUCGGAAUUACUGGGCGUAAAGGGCGCGUAGGCGGUGUGUCAAGUCAGGCGUGAAAUCCCCGGGCUUAACCUGGGAACUGCAUUUGUGACUGCAAGGCUUGAGUGCGGCAGAGGAGACUGGAAUUCCUGGUGUAGCAGUGAAAUGCGUAGAUAUCAGGAGGAACACCGGUGGCGAAGGCGGGUCUCUGGGCAGUGAACUGACGCUGAGGAGCGAAAGCGUGGGGAGCGAACAGG
rnacentral:rRNA from 1 species